ACACAUUUUUGAAGACCUUACCUUCUUCCUCAUGAGGUCAUCUUCUCCAAAAUAAAAAACCCUCGCUUUUUACCUUCACCUUCAACCUCCAUAGCUGCCACUCCAUCGCCGUUGCACCUUCCCCAUGCCAGAAACCUUCACGUCCAAACACCAUGACCACCACUGUCCAGCUCCACGCCCAGUAGCCCUCCUAGAAGCGUGAACCAACAGCAGCCGCUGAACCUUGACGAACCAGCAGCAACUCCGCCAGCUGUUGCCUCUUCGUCGUCACUGCUGCUUCAACCAUCAGCCCCGUCAUUUCGUCGCCAUUAACGACCCCUCACGUCUUCAACACCCCAACUCGCCGGAAAAGACCAGCCCCCCUCUCCAGUCGACCACCCUCAAGUCCAAAACGAGACCAGCCAUCCAAGGUUGUUCAGUCGUACGUCGAGGCAGUGCGUCGAAGUUCCGUUCGAGUCCGCGUCUGUCAGUCAAGUGUCAAAAGAGUGUUGUAAAUGAAGCUGCAUUUCGUCAAAAGUUCACCAUUGUUCGACGUCGGAUCGUUAUCAUAAAGGUUAGUCAUAGCUUGUUCACAGAUUUUUUGCUUUUUCUUUGAAGUGUCGUUUGCACUGUGUGUAACAGAGCAAGAAAGUGUAGUAGUAAAGGUCAUAUCUUUUACCUCGAAUCGAUGUUAUUCACGGAUCUAUUUGUGGUUUUAUUUUAAUACUUAGGAUCAUUUUGAUAAAAUUUCGUAUGAUAUUCCUACUGCAUAUUCGUUGAAAUUAUGUGUGUGCGUUUUAACGAUUUUCCUACUAGUUCAAAUUUUAUUGUUGUGUUAAGUCUAAUUUUGGAUCUAAGUUAGAGAUUUGAAUUUGUUUGUUCAAUCUGUUAAAUUUAAUUUGAAUCUGAGUUUAGUGAUUUGAAUUACUUGUUUGUUAUUGUUAUUGAAUCUGAAAGUAUGUUUGUUGUUAAAAAUGUUGUUCAGUCAAAAUAAUUUUCUGUUGAUUCUUUGUUGUUCAUCAUUUAGUUUGAACUGUUGUUGAAUUUGAUUAAGAAUUGGUUUUGCUGCUAUAUUUUGAUUAAUUGAUUUAGGAAAACUGGUUAUAGCUAAUACGUUCUUGGUGCAGAUUGAAAUUGAUGAGGGUAUAAUGGUCAUUUUAGUAUUUUGAGGGGGAUAUUUUUGGAAUUGAAAAAUAAAGAAUUGUUAAAAAAUAUAGUGCGGAACAUAAUUAUGUAAAGUAAAAAGAUGGGACAAGACAUGUGGGGAGCAUAUUGAUUAAAGUAAAAAAAGAGUGGAUUGUGGGGUUCACGUUUGACUGAUUUUAUUGAUUGGGAAUUCGAAAUUGUAGGGUAAUACUAAAAAGGGUAGUAAUAACAAUUAGAUGGUAGAAGAAUAUUGGGGGUGAAUAAGUAAAAAAAGAGAAAAAAGGUUAGUAAUAAUAAUUUAAAAGUAAAAGUUAAUAGUUAAAAAGAAUAGAGGAAAUGGUCUUGCAUUUGGGGUAUAUAAUAGCAGUCAUUUAACACUUAGGCGAGGAGGAAUUUGGAGAGAGAAAUUUCGGAACUAAAGAGGAGAUAAAAAUAGACUUUUAAUCUUGAGAGAUGAGGACUGAGAGAAGAGUACUAAUUUUCUAAAAUCAUAGAGAGUCUGUAGUUUGAGAGUGUUCUACUCCGCAUCUUAAAGAAUUGAGGAAUGAGAGAAGAGUACUAAUUUUCUAAAAUCAUAGUGAGUCUGUAGUUUGAGAGUGUUCUACUCCGCAUCUUAAAGAACAAAAAAUCAGAAUUAUCCCGAUGCCUCUUCCGUCUUUUUGGGUUCAUUCUGUCAUACAUGUAAGAGUUAUUGGGAUUUCUGGGUCUUCGCUUGGUUUUUCCUAAGUCUGGUUGGUUUUUUUGUUACUGCUCCACCGAUUUUCAAACUCUGUUUCUGGGCUACUGCGUUAGUGCUACUGGUUGUUUGUUGUUUAUGUGUAUUGCUACUGCCAUCCUGCUGAUCACUCAUCUUCUUCUUUUGCUUCUAAUAUCAGGUACACAACUGGUACACCUUGUAAGUUGAUAACAUGAAGCAUGAAUACAAAUAAAUAGUUGAAGUUUUAAUUUUAUUUAGUUUUGUUACUGAAUAUUUGUCUAAAUCUAGCAAUUAAUAUAUUACAUUUUAAGCAUGUAAUUAUUAGGAUUUUUUGCUUUUAUUUUAGAGACGGGCCAAAAAUAGAAGAAUGUAGCCGUUUUAGGAUUACCCUUUAAAAGUUAGACGUGCCUCGCCAAAUAAAAAUACGUAAAAUGCGGGGCCCUCAGUAAAGGUUUAAAAAUAUUUAAAAAAAUCGGGAAGGGUCAUUUAGCGAAUUUCACGACUCUCCCAAAAGAUUACAACGCACUAGACUCUAUUAGG
rnacentral:lncRNA from 1 species